rnacentral:rRNA from 1 species
GGUUAAGCGACUAAGCGUACACGGUGGAUGCCCUGGCAGUCAGAGGCGAUGAAGGGCGUGCUAAUCUGCGAUAAGCGCCGGUAAGGUGAUAUGAACCGUUAUAACCGGCGAUACCCGAAUGGGGAAACCCAGUGUGACUCGUCACACUAUCAUUAACUGAAUCCAUAGGUUAAUGAGGCGAACCGGGGGAACUGAAACAUCUAAGUACCCCGAGGAAAAGAAAUCAACCGAGAUUCCCCCAGUAGCGGCGAGCGAACGGGGAGGAGCCCAGAGCCUGAAUCAGCAUGUGUGUUAGUGGAAGCGUCUGGAAAGGCGCGCGAUACAGGGUGACAGCCCCGUACACAAAAGCGCAUGUGCUGUGAGCUCGAUGAGUAGGGCGGGACACGUGGUAUCCUGUCUGAAUAUGGGGGGACCAUCCUCCAAGGCUAAAUACUCCUGACUGACCGAUAGUGAACCAGUACCGUGAGGGAAAGGCGAAAAGAACCCCGGCGAGGGGAGUGAAAAAGAACCUGAAACCGUGUACGUACAAGCAGUGGGAGCACCCUUUGGGGUGUGACUGCGUACCUUUUGUAUAAUGGGUCAGCGACUUAUAUUCUGUAGCAAGGUUAACCGAAUAGGGGAGCCGGAGGGAAACCGAGUCUUAAUUGGGCGUUAAGUUGCAGGGUAUAGACCCGAAACCCGGUGAUCUAGCCAUGGGCAGGUUGAAGGUUGGGUAACACUAACUGGAGGACCGAACCGACUAAUGUUGAAAAAUUAGCGGAUGACCUGUGGCUGGGGGUGAAAGGCCAAUCAAACCGGGAGAUAGCUGGUUCUCCCCGAAAGCU